rnacentral:rRNA from 1 species
GUGGGGAAUCUUGCGCAAUGGGCGAAAGCCUGACGCAGCCAUGCCGCGUGAAUGAUGAAGGUCUUAGGAUUGUAAAAUUCUUUCACCGGGGACGAUAAUGACGGUACCCGGAGAAGAAGCCCCGGCUAACUCCGUGCCAGCAGCCGCGGUAAUACGGAGGGGGCUAGCGUUGUUCGGAAUUACUGGGCGUAAAGGGCGCGUAGGCGGACAGCUUAGUCAGAGGUGAAAGCCCAGGGCUCAACCUUGGAAUUGCCUUUGAUACUGGCUGUCUUGAGUUUGGGAGAGGUGAGUGGAACUCCGGGUGUAGAGGUGAAAUUCGUAGAUAUUCGGAAGAACACCAGUGGCGAAGGCGACUCACUGGCCCAAUACUGACGCUGAGGCGCGAAAGCGUGGGGAGCAAACAGGAUUAGAAACCCUUGUAGUCC